GGAUAUUCUAUCACUUCUUUAAUGUCUGCCGAAUUGCGAACAUGUGGUGUCACUUCUAUUCAAGGAUCUUUGGAACGAAUUUCUGGCAAUCGAAGUAUGCAGUCGAUUGAAAGGUGUUUAUUUUGUGAUUCAUAUUGGAAUAUGUGAUGGUACAGAAAAUGAAAUCUAUCGGUAUUCGGUGCCGGGGGUUCCUAAAAGGUCAUGCUAAUGCAUAAUACCUUCUUCUGUUGAGGGAAUCAAGUGGAAAAAUUAUACACCACGGAACUCUACUUUGAGCGGAAGUAUUAUUUAUGGAGCCGAUUUUAAAGAUUACUUUCCAAGGGAAAAUUGGUCGGCAUUGCAAAAUUUUAACGCAUUUUUUACGGAAAUGAAUAUAAAUAAAACAUUUUAUUAAAAUUUAAAA